GCUAACUAGGUUGUUGGUGCUUCGUUUUAUGUGUAGAGACCCUAAGCAAGCUACUGAUGAGGUUUGGUGCUGUUUUGAACAAUAUUACUGGUU